GCCCCCGCCGCGCCCCCCAAGCAGACCGCGCCCGGCCCCUUCUCGCGCUUCACGGUUUCGCCCGCGCCUGCGUCGCGCUUCUCCAUUACGCACGUCUCCGACUCGGACGCCGGGUCCGCGGGAGGCCCUGUAGCAGGUGCUGGGGGCAGCUGUAAAGAGGCGUGAGGCCCAGGCGGGCACCCUUGGAGCUCCUGCCGGUCCUGCUGAGGGCAGCAGCGAGGAUGGUUACCGAGAGUGGGGACCUCGGUCUUGGCGGUCGUCGGCAGCUCUCGGCGCCCGGGAGGAGCAGGGCGGCACAAGAGGCCUCCUCCGGCCCCGGAUGGUGGAGCAGCGGGGGGCGGGGUUUGGCGGUCCUGGGUCCUAGCUGCUGGGGAGCCCUCUGGCCUCAGGUGCGAGCAGCCCCCCACCCUCCAGCCGCCCCCCACCCUGACUCUGCUAGCGGGCUGCUUGGCUUCGGAGGCCAGGGCACCACCGGCUCUUGGCUCGGGGGCCUUGCGAGCCUGCCCGCUAGUUCCUGUGGUGACCCACUCGGGCCCGCCGGGUCGGCCUCUCUCUGCCCCCUUCGCCCCUUCUGCCUGGUUCUGGGUUUGCUCAGCACAGGAAGAGGACCCUGGGCUUGCGUGUCCCCCUACCACCCGUACCUCAGAGUCUGUGGCUGUCUUUCCCUUCAGUGACUCAGCUGGACCCGCAAACUGUCCCUCCCAGCCUGUCUGGGGCAGCUCCCGUCUGAGUCCCCUGCUGGAGCCUGGCAGGCGGGCCAUGGUGGGCGGCGGCCUGAGGGAUGGGGGGCUGCCCGGCCACACCUGUUCUAGAGGUGCCCGCAGCUGGCCAGACUGGCCUGGCAAGCCCCCACAAUCCGGUCAGGGGCCCUGCCUGCAGAGGUGGGGCACGGGUGGGCGGGAAGUGGGGGGCUGGGCAGCACAGGGGGUAUUUUUGUAACUGCUAUUGUCUGAUCGGAUGGAAGCGGGGUGAUUUAAGUUAUUGUUGCCAAAGAGACGUAAUGUUUAUUUUUGCUUUGGGGGUGGGGGUAGGGAUAUGUUUUGGGUUGUGUUUUUGUUUUCAUUAGUUUGAGGCUUCGGAUGCUGGUGCCAUGAUUUUGUUCCUAUUUUGUUUGUUUUUUAAAAGAAAUCAAGCUAAGAAAACAAAC